UCCAGGGGUGUUAGCAAUAUCAUAGAGAGCAAGACUAGAGACAAGAGGAUUGAGCUUCAUGAGUAGGGCAAGUGGCUGACCGAUCCCGCCAGCAGCGCCGAGAACGGCGACUUUCCGGUUGGGAACGGCUUCCGAGCCGUAGCCACGACGGAGGAGAUGGGAACAAGACGCGGAGUUAUUUAGGGUUUUGAUAGCUCUGAACAGUGAGCUCCUCAUUUUGAUAUUUCAGCC
rnacentral:misc_RNA from 1 species